UUAGCUGUGUCUCAGUGGUAGAGCAUCUGCUUGGCAUAUGAAAGGUCCCAGUUUCAGUCCCUGGCAGCUCCUCUGAAA
rnacentral:tRNA from 1 species